rnacentral:rRNA from 1 species
CUGAAACAUCUAAGUACCCCGAGGAGAAGAAAUCAACCGAGAUUCCGGUAGUAGCGGCGAGCGAACCUGGAUUAGCCCUUAAGCACUCGGUGAAGUAGGUGAACAAGCUGGAAAGCUUGGCGAUACAGGGUGAUAGCCCCGUAACCGACGCUUCAUCGAGCGUGAAAUCGAGUAGGGCGGGACACGUGAUAUCCUGUCUGAAUAUGGGGGGACCAUCCUCCAAGGCUAAAUACUCCUGACUGACCGAUAGUGAACCAGUACCGUGAGGGAAAGGCGAAAAGAACCCCUGUGAGGGGAGUGAAAUAGAACCUGAAACCGUGUACGUACAAGCAGUAGGAGCACCUUCGUGGUGUGACUGCGUACCUUUUGUAUAAUGGGUCAGCGACUUAUAUUCAGUGGCAAGGUUAACCGUAUAGGGGAGCCGUAGCGAAAGCGAGUCUUAACUGGGCGCUCAGUCUCUGGAUAUAGACCCGAAACCGGG